UACAGAGGAUGCAAGCGUUAUCCGGAAUGAUUGGGCGUAAAGCGCGCGUAGGCGGCAACUUAAGUCGGAUGUGAAAGCCCUGGGCUCAACCCAGGAAGUGCAUUCGAAACUCCCGAGCUGGAGUCCCGGAGAGGAAGGCGGAAUUCUCGGUGUAGAGGUGAAAUUCGUAGAUAUCGAGAGGAACAUCGGUGGCGAAGGCGGCCUUCUGGACGGUGACUGACGCUGAGACGCGAAAGCGUGGGGAGCAAACAGG
rnacentral:rRNA from 1 species